CCUCCGGGGGGCUGCAGUGGGGAAUAUUGGACAAUGGGGGCAACCCUGAUCCAGCCAUGCCGCGUGUGUGAAGAAGGCCCUCGGGUUGUAAAGCACUUUCAGUGAGGAAGAACGCCUGGUGGUUAAUACCCAUCAGGAAAGACAUCACUCACAGAAGAAGCACCGGCUAACUCCGUGCCAGCAGCCGCGGUAAUACGGAGGGUGCGAGCGUUAAUCGGAAUUACUGGGCGUAAAGCGCGCGUAGGUGGCUUGAUAAGCCGGUUGUGAAAGCCCCGGGCUCAACCUGGGAACGGCAUCCGGAACUGUCAAGCUAGAGUGCAGGAGAGGAAGGUAGAAUUCCCGGUGUAGCGGUGAAAUGCGUAGAGAUCGGGAGGAAUACCAGUGGCGAAGGCGGCCUUCUGGACUGACACUGACACUGAGGUGCGAAAGCGUGGGUAGCAAACAGGAUUAGAUACCCGGGUAGUC
rnacentral:rRNA from 1 species